ACUCGCCCAUAUGUCUGCAGCCAGACCCUCUUGAUCUCGUGCGAUCUGCAGCAGAGUGAACUUGAAAACAGCGGAAAUGUUUAGCAUUUUUCCAUUGGGCGAGACGUCCGGUUAUGGAUGUGCUGGAAUUUUUCCUUUUUUUGCGGGCAGUUUUGCUACCAAAACUGAAAGCAUUUUCAGAGUUUUGCUGUGCGCCAUUUUAGUCCAAGACGUAAUACGAUUAUUUAAAGGAAGAAAAUAUAUAUUAUAUAUUAUAUUUUCACCUCUGGAUGGACAGUAUAUUUAUUUUAUAUUUUCACCUCUGGAUAGACAGCAUAUUUAUUUUAUAUUUUCACCUCUGGAUAGACAGCAUAUUUAGUUCUCACCUCUGGAUUUAAUUUUUUUUUAUUUUAUAUUUUCACCUCUGGAUAGACAAGAAACUCAGUGUGCCGAGUGAGAGAGAGCAACCCAUUCUCACUCCAACGGCGUCAAAAAACCGAAGCAUGGUCAAGCGCCCCUAGCGUCACUUUUAUGACGCCAAAUGUGCCUCUAGACGUCGAAUAUCGACGCACUACGACAUUCAUUGCUUUCAGUGGGAAACUUUUGGCGUCAGAAUUUCGACACGAGGACAUGAGAUGUUUAUCGCUGUGAAAUCACGUUCAAGAAGUCUCAUUCAGCACACAUCGCGAUACUUGCUAUCAGUUCCACAGUUUGGCUGAAAAGACGUAAAGGAAGCAGUCAGCCCAGUGGUGUUUCUGGAGAGGGAUUCCUUCAGAAAUGGAGAAGACAGAAAGCUGUGGAGGCAGAUAUUUGCAGCAGUAAGUCUGUGAUAGUUUGUCUAUUUUAUCAAACAUUCCUGCUGUUAUAAUUUGAACAGAAUUUGUUGUUUCUUAAACUGUUGCACUGUCCAAAUACCCGCACUUGCCAUCUUUGCACUUGACCACUUGAGUGAGCAUGAUGACCAUAAGUGUGUGUCUAACUUUUCAUGACCUGAUGACUGUGGUUCCCAAUCCUGGUCCUGGAGAACCCCAGCACUGCACGGUUUUGGUGUCUCUCUUAUCUAACACACACACUUUUGAGGUCUUGGAGUCUUCACUGAUGAGUUGAAUCAGGUGUGUUUGAUCAGGGAGACAUCUCAAAUGUGCAGUGUUGGGGUUCCCAGGACCAGGAUUGGGAGCCACUGCCUUAUGGGACACACUUAUGUGUUUACAGAAAUUUUUAAUAUCUAAUUAUCAAUAUUUCACAUACUGUACAUUGGACAGCUUUCCGUGACCUCUUGUGAGAUCUCAGCAAAAAGUCUGACGAUUUAUACCAAAACAUGAUGCAUGAUGGGAUACACUAAGCGUUGUAUAGUGCUCUGGAGCAGUAUUGGAGAGGUUUAGUGUGUGUUAAGGACACUAUGCUUUGGCAUUAUUAAGACCGGGGACAGUUUUGUGCACACACUGUCACGUACACACACUCUCAAGUGGCCAAGACUGCAAAUGUGGGUAUCUGGACAGGGACAAGUCUUAAAAAUGAACCCUAAACACAGUCGCACAUCACAGUCUUAAUAAUUCAGUUUAACACUUGUAUGAUAUUGUCUCAUCAGACACUAUCAAAAGAAUUCAUAUGACUAUAGCUUGAUAUUAAUUACUUGCUUUUAAUAAUGGAUGCAUUUAAUAUUUAAUUAUACAGCAUCUUUACAGAGGCUGCUUUUAUGGUCUAAACAAAACCCAGUGUAAUGUAUGAGUUGAAUGUAAUGUAAUAUUUCACAUAUUAGUUGGAUAUAUUUUGUGUAAGAUCUUCAGGUGAAUUUUUCUUACUUUGUUAGAAAUACAAAAUUUGUAAGGGAGCAUCCAUGCUUUCCUCCAAUUAACAUCUCUUAAAAUGGAAUUCCAGUAAAAUUUCCCUCUUGGAGUAAUUCUCUUUUGUUCAUUAAAUACUUGUCUUAUAUCUUUGUUAGUAGAUUUUUUUUAUCAAAAAUAUAUUUACCAUUUGUAAGGAGAUCAUAAUCUUUAUUUUCAACUUUAUAAUAAGUCAACUGGCUGCACAUUAAAUUAAUAAGCCCAGAGGGAAUAACUUUGGUUACUACAGAAAAUUCUUUAAAUUUUAUAGGAAAGUUGAAUUUGGACAAAAAAAGAAUCAUAAGAGUGAAUUUUUAAAGAUGAAUCAAAUAAUUCACUUAAAUACAUUAACCCGUGAUCCAACCAUUUCUCAAAAAAUAAACUCUUGCCUUUAACUGUAAUCAAUUCGUUGUUCCAUAUUUUCAUUCUGUAAGGAGAAAAAAUAUGCACAAAGCACAAUUUCCAGGCCAAGAGUGCUUGCUCAUGGAAUUUAGACAGUUUUAUAGGUAAUUUAGAUGGUACAAAAUUGCAAGUUAACAGAAAUUUAAGACUGUCGACCUUUUAAAAAAUAUUAUGUGGAAUAAACGACCAAAUUGAAUCAGUAUCAGUAACACACCUUUUGAUCCAGUUAAUCUUAAAAUUAUCUACAUAAUCCAGCAAUUCAAAACCAUUUCCUUCCAAUUUCUUUCCAACUAAUACGUUUGUUUAAAGAUGGUGGUGCUUAUUUUUCCAGCAAAGAUUAACUAAUAACCUAUUAAUUUCUUUACCAGUAGAAUCUUGAACAAAUAAAGACAGCCCAGGAAAAAUCAAUGUGGAUAAACCUUCUACUUUUGUUAAUAAGAUUCUGCCUAAAAUAAAUAAAUCCCUUCUUAACCAAUUGUCAAAAAACAUUUUUGUUUUCUUAAUCUUGUAAUUAAAAUUAAGAUGCUGUCUAACUGUCAAUUUUUUAGAUAUAUAAAUUCCUAAAUAUUUAACGUAUUCUUUCACUGGAAUGUUAAACAUUGAAUGUUGAGAAGAAUCAUGUACUGGAAGAAUUUCACACUUUGUAAUAUUUAACUGGAGACCUGAGGCAUCAGAAAAAGUUAGAACUAAUUUGAUUGCAUUCUUAAUUUGAUUCUUAUCUUUUAGAAAUAAAGUUGUAUCAUCAGCCAAUAAAAAUAUUUUUAUUUCUCUAUUAAAUAAUGUUAUACCAUGUAAAUUUGGAUUUUUAACUAUACUAAUAGUUCCACAACAAUUAAAAACAAAAAUGGGGAAAUUGGGCAACCUUGCCUCACUCCUCUGUUGAUGGAGAAUCUUCUAGAAGUAUUGUUCUGUAAUAUAACGGAACUAUUAAUACCUUUGUAAAACAUUUUACCAUUCUGAAUGAUUUUUUUUUCCAAAACCAAAUGCAUGUAAACUCUGUAAUAAAAAUUGGUGAUCAAUUGUGUCAAACGCCUUAAAUAAAAUGAGUGCAUCUGAAUUAACAAAUUGGUUAUAAUCUAAUAGGUCCAAUAUAAGCCUAAUAUUUGAACUAAUAUGGCGUUUCACCAUAAAACCAGUUUGAGAUUCUCCAAUUAUCUUAUUUAAACCACUCUUUAAUCUAAUAGCUUAAACUAAGGCUAAAAUUGUAUAAUCAAUGUUUAAAAAUGUUAUUGGUCUCCCGUUGUCAGUGAUCAAGGGGUCUUUGUCUGGUUUUGGAAUUAAACUGAUAAUACCUUGUUUCAUUGUUGUGCUCAUUUCUUUAUGUUCUAAACAUUCUUUAUAGAUGCUAAAUAAAGGGUUUUCUAUCAGAUCCCGAAAGGCACAAUAAAAUUCAACAGUUAACCCAUCUGAUCCAGGGGAUUUUCCUUUCUUCAUUGAAAAAAGAGCUUUAGAGAUUUCAGCUUCAUAACUAGUAUUCCUUUCCCCCUCCUCAAACCAUUUGGCUCUUGAUCUCACAUAAGCACCUUUAGCUAGUUCUAUAUAUAGAUUAUCUAUUUCUAAAUUAAGAAGAUAUAAUUUAGACUUGUCAUCUUCAGACAGAGUAUUUUGUUUGAUUAAAGUAUCAAGUUGCUCGGUUAUCUCCGUAAUCUUCCUAAGUUUAUUUUUCUUUAAUUCUUUACCUCUUCUCAUAGCAAUUACCCUGAAUUUAAAUUUAAAUAACUCCCACCUUUGAAUAAAAGUUAAAUUAUUAUUUUCAAAAAUAUUUGCUAUCAAUUUAACUUGUCCCACAAAAUAAUUGUCAGAAAGUAGACUGUUGUUAAAUUUCCAGUAUCUAAGAAAUAUACUACUCUUACACCCAUCAAAAAAUAUUGAUAUCAAUUUGUGAUCUUACAGAGGGGCACAAGUAAUUUUUGUUUCUUAAACAUAGUUGAUUAAGUCAUAAGAAAUCAACCAGUAAUCUAUUAUUGAUUUUAAAGAAAACGUGCUAUCAUUCCAAGUAUAGUCACAACAAUUGGGAUUCAAAUAUCUCCACACAUCAGAAACUUGUAAUGUGUCAGUUAUAAAAUCAAAUAAAUCUGAAAUUCGUGAACUAUGUCUGGGUGGAAAGCGGUCAACAGAAUCGUCUGGAUCAUCGUUGAAAUCACCACCAAUAAUUACAUUUCCAUCCUUAUACUACUUCUUUAAACCUGUUAUUGAUUCACAAAUCUUCUUAAACAUUUCUAAAUUGUGUACUCGAACAUUAAAUCCAUAGACACUGCAAAUUAUUAAAGUGGAAUUGUCCAGUUUAACAGUGAGUAUAAUCCAUCUUCCAUUGUCUGAACGAAUAGACUCCAAAACAUUGCCUUUGAAUUUGUUAAAGAAAAUUGCGACACCUUCUGAGUGAUUGGAUCCAUGACAAAAAAUUGCAUAAUCUCCCCAUUGGGUUUUCCAAAAAUUCGAAUCAGAGUCACAAGAAUGAGUCUCUUGAAAAAAAAAGUAUUUGAGCUUCUGUAUGUCUACCAAAAACAAAUAUAGCUUUUCUUUUAACAGUAUCACGAAUGCCUCGAACAUUUAAAGAAAUUAAAUUGAACUUACCAAACUUGUAAUCAGCCGUUACAACAAACUAACUACUUAGGGGUGCCACAGUU